rnacentral:rRNA from 1 species
GACGAACGCUGGCGGCGUGCCUAAUACAUGCAAGUUGAGCGCUGAAGGUUGGUACUUGUACCGACUGGAUGAGCAGCGAACGGGUGAGUAACGCGUGGGGAAUCUGCCUUUGAGCGGGGGACAACAUUUGGAAACGAAUGCUAAUACCGCAUAAAAACUUUAAACACAAGUUUUAAGUUUGAAAGAUGCAAUUGCAUCACUCAAAGAUGAUCCCGCGUUGUAUUAGCUAGUUGGUGAGGUAAAGGCUCACCAAGGCGAUGAUACAUAGCCGACCUGAGAGGGUGAUCGGCCACCUUGGGACUGAGACACGGCCCAAACUCCUACGGGAGGCAGCAGUAGGGAAUCUUCGGCAAUGGACGAAAGUCUGACCGAGCAACGCCGCGUGAGUGAAGAAGGUUUUCGGAUCGUAAAACUCUGUUGGUAGAGAAGAACGUUGGUGAGAGUGGAAAGCUCAUCAAGUGACGGUAACUACCCAGAAAGGGACGGCUAACUACGUG